CACAGUUAACUUCCGGACACUCUAGGGUUAGGGUUCGUCGAUGAUAGAUCGUCGCGAUGGCCGAGAGCGUAGAGCCGCGGAGGACGAUCGGCGCCAGGGUUUUCCUCAAACUCAACCGCAAUGGCCACAUCCUGGGCGCGAUUUCGGCGGCGCUGGCAGGAAUCAUGCUGGUGGUGAAGAUGAAGAAGGCAGAGGAGCUCCUCAAUGAGCACAGGACGGGGCUUUGCGGCCUGUCCGAUGGAAUGGCGGAGGAGAACCGGCGAUUGAAGCAGGGAUUGAUGAGCCUCCGGCAGCGCGUGCUGGAUGAGGUGAGCCGGGAUGGCAAGAAGCUGCCGCCAUUGCCCACCAGGCUCAAGCAGAUUUUUGAUUCGGUGCAAUGAGCAUCGAGAGCUCUGUUCCAGGUGAGGAAAACUCUUCCUUUUUUCCAAUGCGGCAUUCUUCUCUUCUCUCUUUGUGUUCUUCAUCGACAGACUUGGGCUCUCAUCGAUUAAGUGGCGUUGUGAAGAAGAAAUUUUGGAGCAGUGGGCCUGCUUCUCGCAACUGGAUCAUCCAAAACAUUUUGCUUCGAUAGAUCCGCUAUGAUGCUCAAAACUGGUGGAAUGAAUAAGUUCCUUUUCUUCGUC